AGCACUCUUAGUUAAAGUAGAUGCCCAUCAAUAGUUACUGCCACCUUACGUUUUUCAUGUUUAUCUUAUUCUAUCUUGAAAAAUGGUUUCAGAAUGUUUACUCAUUGUACCUAUGGUCUGUCUUUUACUAAUAUCCCAUUUCACCCAUGCAUACCAACUAAGCAAGUUCAAAAAGUUUAGUGACCACUCAUGUAUGUUGUAUUGGUGUGAAACUAAAAACACACAGGUACAUCUUGUCCAAGCUGAUAGAAGAUGGGGGAUGAAAUACCAAACUAAGUUACAAGAAAAGGGGAACUGCAUGAUCAGAGAUUUUUCAUCUUCUUAACUGCUAGUUCAAAACCAGCCCCUCUUUCAGAGACCAAAAGUAACCAUCUGAUAAUUGGUUGCCUAUGGCCUGCCUCAUGACUCCUGCUCAAAGCUAGCUUGAACAUUAAAACCCAAGACAUCACUAAAAUUAAAUAUUAGACUGAAACAUUAUUAAGAGCAAGAUUACUAUUAUGAAUUAUUUCUGGUAGCAACUAUGAAGUGCUUGGAACUUUCCAAAUAGAAAAGAGGGCCUGGCCAUAUUCCCCAAGGACCUCACAAUUUAAAGACUGUCUCUCUCUUUGUCUUGAAGAUAGGGGAAGGAUGCAAUACAUAUACAAUUAUCUUUAGAAUGUGUAUACAAAUAUAAUGAAAAUAGGAUAUGUACAAUUAUAUCCAACUACUUCUCAGAGUUGAUAUUAUCAGUGGCAGUUUUCCCAUAAGCAUCAUGAUAGAGGUGGGUCUUCAGGAGACACUUGAAUGUGGCAAGGAUCUGGGUUUUCCAAAUGAACUCUAUAAGGCUAUUCCAUGCAUAGGGAAUAGCAUAGAAGGUACAGAACCAUAGGCAAUGCAGUUGCAGAUAGAUGGGCAGUUGAGUCUGAAGUCACUGGUGCAGUGGAGAGGCCAGGUAGAAGUGAGUGGAUGGUUGAUUUAGAGUAGUACAGCGCAUUAGCUUGGAAAUAGUCUCUUUGUUGCCAAUUUAUAUUUUGAAUGAGGGUAGAGCUAGGGUUUAUAGGCUUAAAGUUUUUAAUAAAAAAAAUAUGGAAGGUGAAAGGAGGAUGUAAGCAAGAAGGGUGAAAGAAAGCCAGUAAUUGGACAAAUGGCAAUUGGUGAUGAUGGUCUCCCCCCAUAUGGCAAGAGAGACAAUGGGCAGCAACAUAGGUACCAGGAGGCCAAUUCUGUGGGCUGUUACAGGAUUAGUAGAAGCCUACUCAGUUAGGGAACUCAGGCAGACCAGAGGCCCUGAGUGCUCCAUACAGCAGAUGCACUUGCUCCUAAGAUUUGGCUGUAGAUCCUUGUGUAUAUCAAAUAUUCAUAAUGAACAAGGAUUUCCCUGUAUUAUAAGUGCUUGGAAGAUAUAGAUCCCCUUGAGAGUGCUAUAAAGUGCAUGAGGUAUACACAUUCUCUGCCUCCUCAAUAGGGCCUUAGAGCAACCCAUGUCAAUAUGCGAGUCAGAACCAGUCCAACAGUGCUAGAGUUUUGUAACAAUAUAACAGCAGCUAUGCCCUUAAACUCCUCCUUUGACAUUUUGCCCUUGAUGAUAUUCAGUGAUAGGUUAAGGGUGGAGACAUGGAGCUACAGAUCUGAGUUCUACUGUCCGGAGGGAAGGCAGGGAGCAGCAUUUCUGUCACAACAGAGACACAACUGAUUGAUGCUGCAACACAAACUACAUCGUGAAUCCAGGCUCCUUAUCAGUUUAGGCUGCUCCUGACUACAUUACUUUCCCAUUUAUUUUCUGAACUAUCCCUAGUUUGUCAGACAGUACAGAUGUGUAUUUUAAUGGGGAAAGUUUGGAGCAUUUUCUUGGUGCUUUUGAGUUUCAAAUGGAAAAUCCGAAAUCUAACAUUUUAAGCUUCUUAUUCAGUACAGGUUACACAGGUAAUGCAUUUAUAAUAUGGCUGAAGAUCAGAUAGCAGUGUUCAAAGGGGAUCUUGAUAAAAAUGUGUGAAACCAUUAUUCUCAGGGAUUUAUAAAAAUGUGAAAACUCGUAUUGUUACCAGACUGAAUGGACAGAUUCUCUAUCCAGGAGAAAAUUAUUUGUUUGCAAUAUUUGAUAAAAUUUAAUUACAUUGCUUGAAAGGCUAGAAGGUUGAACAAGUUAGGCAAAAAUCAUUCUCCUAUUUUCCAUAUGUUUUUUCUGAUGCUUUCUUGUAUUUCUGUUUUUGUUGUUUUUUAAGAGAAUUAAGUAUUUAUUAAAUUUCACAUUUGGAAAACUACCAAAAAGUGUUAGUGGUCACACUACCCAAUCAAAGCAAGAAAAAGCACAUUUAGAAGGGAAUCAGAGAGCAACAAAGUGGCCUUAUCUCAACUGCUUUACUUUAUCCUUUCACACCAAGAAUGUAACUCCUGGUGCCAGCAGAGGACACAUUGGAAGAGCUGACUCUAAUGAGUUAUUGCACCUUGUUGUGUCUUGGUACUGGAGUACACUUGGUAUAUUUCUUCCUAACCUGAUUUUGUCCGUUUGUGUGUGCAUCCAUUAGGAUCACUAUGGGUGAGUACAUUCACCUUCAGUUCACUGAACUGCAAUACGGCACCAUCCUCACAUUCAUAAACGGACAGAGCUGCCAAACCUGAAAGAGAGGAAAGGGUUGGGGAAAACCAAGUUAAGUUUAAAUGGCCAAAUCCUAGGAUAGCAAGAACAGAGCCCAUUUCAAAUAAUCUUACUGUUGUCUUAAUCCUGUUUUUAGACGCCAGCCAAGCACUCUUGUGCUAAAAAGCUCUGGAAUGCCUUGCCAGCACUUUUUUGGGGGAGCCAGAAUGGCGUUCCAGUACUGCUGAUAAUUGUAAAGUAAACCAACGAUAGUGGUUAUUGCUUUCAUUCUUCACCUUGCAGUAUGUGUGGUCGGUGCCUAUGCAGCAAAAGGUGCAUUCCGGAUCUUUUUUUUUAUGUCUUGAGAACUGAUGCUAAUUAUAGUGACUGGCACCCUAUAAAUACCUAAGACAGAUAGAGUCUCAGGUUGUCCUGUUGAAUAAUCUAGUACACUAUACAUGAUGAAUAAUUAUUAAACUAGGGAAUUCAUAGAUAAUAAUGAAAACUUUUUUUUUUUUUGCUUCUGAACAUAGGGGCAACAGAUGUUAAUUGGUGCAGUCAAAGAUGUAUUGAAGGAAUCAUAGCAAUACUGAGAUUAAGUUUGGUGGUUAUGUGAAUGUGGUGGCAUUGUAUCUUACCCAUACUUGAGCAAUUUGGCAAGCUAACUGCCAUUUAAAUCUCCCAGCACACCUGUCAUGUGUCUGCCCACAAAAUUACUAUCUACGGGGCACAGGAACAUACCACACUGUGGGUGGUACUUGCUCCAAGCAAGGCUAACUACUGUGUUGCCCACAUCACUGUGAGGCACCAUUGGUACAGUGCCACUGUAGAUACGAAGUGCUGGUGCAAUAAUCUCUAUGGUGCAAAUUGUCCUCCAUCACUGUCCCACAGAGCACUAGCCACUACAUAGGGGGUCUGUUUGGCCUAGUUCUUCUACCUUGUUGGUUCAGGGUCAAGUUUUCUGGAAGUCCCUUGCCUAUAUAUAUAUAGUACUGCAUACCUUCGAUCUCAUUGUGUGCUGUUUUUUGCCAGCACCCAUAGCUUUGCAGUCAUUGUGUGUUUCAGCAAGCCAAUUUUGGAACAUAUUUCAGAAGGAAAAAGCUAUUGUGCAGGAAUGCUGCCAGCUGGCCAGAGGCAGAUACCCAGGUGCUUGAGAGAUUCAAUUGCAGUUGAACUCUAAUUAGGAAAACUUUGGAUUAUGACUGAGUGAUACAAAUAGAGUGUGUGGCAGGGAAUCACCCACUUGGGGGAAAGACAAUAUCAGGAGAAAAGUAAAAGGGCCUGAGAUAACUGCAGCCAGUCUGGGUAAGGAGGAAAACCUACCCUUUUUCCCAAUGAACUGGACAGUAUUUUUGGCACUCAUCCAUCUACAGAGCCUGAGGUACUUUGGAUGGCACUGUGACACCUAGCACCUGGGCCAUCAGGAGAAGAGAAAGGAAAAAUAUUCAUCAUAGCCCAGUCCAUGACAAGGGAUGUGGGCCAGGACCAGGAGGUGCCUGAGACCGUACAAGGAUUCCAAGACCUCUUUGGAGAAGCUCAAGAUCUGGCUACAGCAGCCAAACAGGUUGGGGGUGGACGUAGGAGACAAAGGAGCACGCAAGAGGGCCCGACUGCACCAAGGCCCAGUGUGGAAAUGCUGGCACAUCACUGAAUGGGACAGCAAAGGCAUCAGGAAUCACAAAUGAUUGAACACUUGACCAUCUCACCGGAAGGAAAUUGAAAUGACUCACAGAGGGUCAUGUAAAGGGACUCUGAUACAAUGUUUAGAUUCAAGGAGGAAAAAGCUGGUCAUUUUUUGGAAAGACAAGACCAAUUUAGGCAAGAGGACAGAAAACCAAUGAUGGAAUGUAUAUGGCAUGAUAGUGAAGUGACGCUGCCGGAUCAAGAGGUCCAUAGAAAACUUCAAAGAGAAUACAUGGAGAAGCAAAGGCAGCUAGCACUAUUCUCCCAGCACCUGUUUGCAUUGUACAACCACCUCAGCAUGAUGCUAUGGUACAGAACUGGCUCAUCCCUGUCUGCUCCCUCUGCUGUGGUCUCCUGGCACUCUGGUGGUGAACAGGACAAAGAACUGCAGUAUGCCAGACAUACAUUUUGUGGCCCUAUAGCCCCGUAAACCAAAUUUUUGUGUGCUUGGGUUAUUUUUCUCUGGUUACUUAUUGGAACUGGCCUGAAUGUUUGUGGUUUUAAAUAAAGUAAACUUGCAUAAUUUA